rnacentral:rRNA from 1 species
GUUUUUUUUUUUGAAUGGGGGCUAUCUGCAGUCGACGAACAGACAAGGGAGCUUGCUCCUUUGACGUUAGCGGCGGACGGGUGAGUAACACGUGGGUAACCUACCUAUAAGACUGGGAUAACUUCGGGAAACCGGAGCUAAUACCGGAUAAUAUUUCGAACCGCAUGGUUCGAUAGUGAAAGAUGGUUUUGCUAUCACUUAUAGAUGGACCCGCGCCGUAUUAGCUAGUUGGUAAGGUAACGGCUUACCAAGGCGACGAUACGUAGCCGACCUGAGAGGGUGAUCGGCCACACUGGAACUGAGACACGGUCCAGACUCCUACGGGAGGCAGCAGUAGGGAAUCUUCCGCAAUGGGCGAAAGCCUGACGGAGCAACGCCGCGUGAGUGAUGAAGGUCUUCGGAUCGUAAAACUCUGUUAUUAGGGAAGAACAUACGUGUAAGUAACUGUGCACGUCUUGACGGUACCUAAUCAGAAAGCCACGGCUAACUACGUGCCAGCAGCCGCGGUAAUACGUAGGUGGCAAGCGUUAUCCGGAAUUAUUGGGCGUAAAGCGCGCGUAGGCGGUUUUUUAAGUCUGAUGUGAAAGCCCACGGCUCAACCGUGGAGGGUCAUUGGAAACUGGAAAACUUGAGUGCAGAAGAGGAAAGUGGAAUUCCAUGUGUAGCGGUGAAAUGCGCAGAGAUAUGGAGGAACACCAGUGGCGAAGGCGACUUUCUGGUCUGUAACUGACGCUGAUGUGCGAAAGCGUGGGGAUCAAACAGGAUUAGAUACCCUGGUAGUCCACGCCGUAAACGAUGAGUGCUAAGUGUUAGGGGGUUUCCGCCCCCUUAGUGCUGCAGCUAACGCAUUUAAGCACUCCGCCUGGGGAGUACGACCGCAAGGUUGAAACUCAAAGGAAUUGACCGGGGACCCGCACAAGCGGUGGAGCAUGUGGUUUAAUUCGAAGCAACGCGAAGAACCUUUACCAAAUCUUGACAUCCUUUGACAACUCUAGGAGAUAGAGUUUUCCUCCUUCGGAGGGACAAAAUUGACAGGUGGGUGCAUGUUGUCGUCAGCUCGUGUCGUGAGAUGUUGGGUUAAGUCCCGCAACGAGCGCAACCCUUAAGCUUAGUUGCCAUCAUUAAGUUGGGCACUCUAAGUUGACUGCCGGUGACAAACCGGAGGAAGGUGGGGAUGACGUCAAAUCAUCAUGCCCCUUAUGAUUUGGGCUACACACGUGCUACAAUGGACAAUACAAAGGGCAGCGAAACCGCGAGGUCAAGCAAAUCCCAUAAAGUUGUUCUCAGUUCGGAUUGUAGUCUGCAACUCGACUACAUGAAGCUGGAAUCGCUAGUAAUCGUAGAUCAGCUGCUACGGUGAAUACGUUCCCGGGUCUUGUACACACCAACGGUCACACCACGAGAGUUGAAC